UCUGCCUCUACAGGCAUUGUAGGGGCAGCAGCUGUGUCAUAUAGGCAUCAGUAGAUAGCAGAGAGGAGGUGCUAUGUACAGGCAUUGUAGGGGCAGCAGCUGUGCCAUAUAGGUAUCAGUAGAUAGCAGAGAGA